UACGUAGGUGGCAAGCGUUGUCCGGAUUUACUGGGUGUAAAGGGCGUGCAGCCGGAGAGACAAGUCAGAUGUGAAAUCCACGGGCUCAACCCGUGAACUGCAUUUGAAACUGUUUCCCUUGAGUGUCGGAGAGGUAAUCGGAAUUCCUUGUGUAGCGGUGAAAUGCGUAGAUAUAAGGAAGAACACCAGUGGCGAAGGCGGAUUACUGGACGAUAACUGACGGUGAGGCGCGAAAGCGUAGGGAGCAAACAGG
rnacentral:rRNA from 1 species